GUUUAUUGCUUGAAUCAAUGUUAUUUCGAGAAAUCAGCCUUGGCCCUUGGGAACAAGGCUAGUUUUUCAGGAGGUGGUAUUGUUGGGGGUAUAGAGGAUUCUAGAAGAAGGAUACACGAAUUGAGGGGAGAAAAGGAGAAUCAAGGGGAAGGCUGUGGAAAUAGACAGCUUGAGUGGGUUGGCAAGGUGGUUGGUUUGUUAGGGGAAAUUUCGGGAGCAUUCUUUGCCUUAUCGCAGCCAAAGACUUUAGAAUUUGCUUUGCCUUCAGUUCUGGCUACAUUUUCUUCCUCAUUGCUAAUUCCUUUUCACUUAUCAGUCAUCAAAGAAAAAAUUAAGGCUCGGAAACCUUCAAGAAGUGCCUCCCUGGUCUCCAAUGCAGAUUGCCUAAUCUCCUUGCUCAUCCUUCUGACCUCUCCCUUCAAUUCCUUAAUGUCUUCGAUUCCUUUUCUUCAUUCUCCUUGGAGAAUCUUUACUUGUUCUUCCAAUUCUGCCAACCUCAUGGCCUCAGCACUCACUACUACUUUCCUAGACAUAAUUGCGACCCUGAUGGAAUGGAAAUCAAGCAAUGCCCACUCACUUCAAGCUCUGAUACCAAAUGUUA
rnacentral:misc_RNA from 1 species